GGUGCGAGCGCUUUAGGAGCUGCUUUGGCUAUGUUCUAAGUUUGAGUGGCAGAAAUAAGAGUGAGAAGAAGGAGAGCUCUAAGUUAUU
rnacentral:ribozyme from 1 species